ACUUCGACCAGCGAGCUCCCUUUUCUCCCCUCGCACCAAUCGCUCCUGUCCCCGAGCCCCUCGCACUCGCUAGGGUUCCCCCACCCCCAUCUUCUGCGACCACCAUGCCGCCGCCCCAUCUUCUGCGACCACCACGCCCGCGCCGAGGGCUCCCCGCUUGGACAUCGUCAGGUUCUGCCGCCGCGGAACCCCGCCAUCACCGCGCGCACCACGCCAACAGAUGAGUUUGCCGGAGCUCACACGCCGGUCGCCACCGAUCAAGAUGAAGAAGGGGCGGGGGGUAGGGUGCACCUGCGCGUCGCGAGCCGCAACUCGUACUCGGCAUCACCAUGUUCGUCGGUCUCUCCAAGGGAAUGCAGUGGCGUCUGCAUGAGGCAUGGCAGAUGUACGUGGAUGCGUGGAAAACCAACAUCCCAGAAUUCAAGAAUCCCUUUGCUCCAUCGAGGACACCAUCACAGGUACGUCAAUCUCUGUCCUCUCCUGCGUUGUCAUUAUAUUAUGCCCGUGUGUGUAGUGCAUAUUGCUCUGACGUUCUAGAAUUUUUGGUAGAUUGUGCGUCUCUUCUUUUCCUGAAAAAUUCUUUGCCUUGGUGAUCGCUUCUAGAUUUAUUCAGCUCAUGUAUCUAUACCAUGUACUAUUUCCUACUAUAGUAUAUAUGGUAUUGAUUGUAAAAAAAGGUGCAUAUUGCAAUUUUAAUGAAGAAUGAAUGAUUGUUUAAAUCAAGUGGAGAAUAAAUGUUCAUUAGCAUAUUGUUAUCUGACACAGACAUAUGCAGUGGGUUUGAUGGCAGGUUGAUUAAAACCAUGGUAAACAAUCGACAUUGAGAAUCGCUGGAUCAAUGUAUUUUGGUGAAUUGGAAAAAAAUCCUUAUAGUCAUAACAGUGAAAAAGGACUGUUAGACAAUUAAUGCUCUUUAUUUAUUUGUUUAUUUUAGUUUCCACACAGGAUGUUCUAAAACAUGUUCGUCUUACCUGAAAGAGCACUGCUAUGCACACGAGUAUCGACGCACGAUCCACAGACGACAAGUCAGGUAGACCAUAGGAUUAACUGGGUUUUUUUUAAUCUGUGUGGCUCCUAAUCCUGUCGAGCGCAAAUCAUCCAGGAGCCAAUCGAGUGCAGAGCACUUUCGUACCUGAAAUGCCUACAUGUUAUGAAGAGAUCUAACAUGUAUCAUGUAUGAAGUAAUAGGUGGAUCAUAUAUAAACCACUAGCAUAUGUAUAUUUCUGAAACCAGUAUUUCAGCUGUCACGUGUCUUUGGCCGACGGCAAAUUGCAAACACAGCAAAGCUCGCUUGCCUUGAGAGAUAUCAAACUUGGGUAGCAGCAUAGCUCGAAUAAGUGUAUAGACUGAUUGACUAGCAACACAUGCACACACAGAAGAUAGCUGAUUGGAUAGCCACUAGCAUGUAAACAUGCAUGUUUAUAUUUCUUCAACACACUGUGAUUGUGAAGUUAUCUCUAUAUUUCUACAAUUCGCUGUUGAUCUUUUAUAGAUGUUCAUCUCCCGACUUUAUCUAUAUUAACUGUUGGUCAAUUUUCUGAAUUACUUGUUGGUGAGAAUUCUUCUGAUGUUGUCUUCUUGGCAUCAUCAUUCAAUCAUAUUUUCUAGACUAUUGAGUUCAGGAAUAUUUGUUGUUGCCUCAAUAUGUUGUAGAUUAUCUUAUUUUAUAGUUUCUUUUGUUGAGUGAAUAUCUCCAAAGUAUCGAACUUACACUGUCUGCUCACAGAGAGGAAAAGAGGGGCUGACUGUAGGAUUCUAAAAUCUUUCUUCACUGCCAAACUUUAGUGAUUGCCCUGCUGGAGAUUGUCAUAUUUUUUUUAAAAGGAAAGCGGAUCCGUACGCCGCCGCUGAUCCCUUCGCCGACGCCGAUCUCGUUGCUACGUCGACGGCAACCAUUUGACGCCGCCGAACCCCUUGCCAUCGAGUGUCUCCUCCAUUAUGAGUGCAAGCAACAGGAGGUGUCCUCUUGGCACAACAACGUGGUCAACUGGUCACUCCUUCAUCGACAGGUUCUUGCGCUUGGUGGAUUACUUCCACGGUUCCACAGUGGGAGGGGACACUCAAGCUACGGUUCAGGCAAUGUCUCCACCCACUCGCAAGUUCAACUACAUUGGCUGAGUGCAAGCAGGAUCUGUAGUAAUACUGAGUACUUACAAACGCAGAAAGCUAUGUCUACAUCUGCACAAGGUAGAAUCACAAUGAACUUGGCCCUUGAUUAUUUUUGUCAUGAGUUGUAUUUCAGUCGAUUGACCUAUGGUCGGAAGUGUGCCUUGUAUACCACACCUUUGAAACUUUGUUAAAUCUGAAUUGUGUGGAUGGCAAGCAGUACAUCAGGCUUUGUUUCCUUUGUACUGAUUUAAUAUACCCGCUGGUUCGGCUGAUUAGUGCUACGCUGUGUGGAUGGCGCAAGCAGUACAUCAGGCUUUGUUUCCUUUUUACUGAUUUAAAAUACAUGCUGGCCCGGCUGAUUAGUGCUACGCUGUAUAAGUUCACAGUGCACUUGCAAUUGCUUAGUAACUGUAGUAGAUGGAAAUGUACCAACAUGUCGUAGUUAUGUUGUUGACUUGCUAUAUUGCUCCUUUUCCUUUUGUAAGGUAUCUCAGACUGUGGGAUUUUUUGUUCAACAUUAGACGAAAUAUUCAGCUCAAUUUUUAUAUUGUACCAUUUGUUUCCCACACUUGUCUUUCGAAUUGUCCAUUUGUUAUUUGGAUUUUUUAGAUUUAACUGUGUAUCCGACAUGCAUAUAAUAAUAAUUUUGUUUAGAUAUUAAAAAUACAAUAUCAUUGUCAGGAACUUCUACAUCCGAUUAUUUCUCAUAUAUUUGGGGUCUGAUGCAGCAAAGGUAAUACCUGCUUUGUGUUUUUAGAUUGAUAACAAUGAAUUAUUCCAGAUGUAAAAGGAAUUACUAAAAUCAACUAGAACUGAUGCUACAUAAGUUUUUUCUUUUCAUAAUUAAAUUAUUUCCCUCUUGAUAAAAAAAUAGUAUUCUAGAGAACUUAGUUCACAAGACAGAAAAGAAGCAAAGGUGUGUUAUGCAACUUUCAAUAAGGUGGAAAUAAACAAGACUAGAGGUGGGGAGAGAGAGAUAGAGAUGUUUUUUUUAGAGAAGAGAGAGAUAGAGAUGUUACACAUGAUUCAUUCCUGAACCACUAGAACUUGUUGUUUUUUCUCUCAUCUGUUGGCCAUGCCCGGCCUUAGAUUGGGCUUGAUUUGUAUUUAUGCGUAACUGUGCACAUUUUGGUCAGCUAUGUGUCAUGUUUAGGCUUUUCUGCGCUGUCUCGGCUGAAAGCCAUUUUUAUCGGAAUGUUGGUUGGUGCAUAUAGUUUUACUGCCAUGUAGAAGAAUGAAGUACGUAAGUGGUAUUUGUUUCUUUGCGUAUGAAACUAGGUGUCUUCGUUACAAGUAAAUCAUUAUAAGAAUGGAAACGACCCUGUUAGAUCCCCAUAAAGGUGGUACCGCAAUAGCCAGGAACGGAUUGAGGUAAUCAAGGGAUGAAUUGGUGUGUGUUAACCAUUUAAUUUGAACAUGGUAUGGCAAUUGUCGCACUCUGUUUCAGUUAGCUGAAACUGAUAGCCAGGAACGCAUCUUUGUAGCACUUUUCUGUUAAAAUUGUAAAUAUACAUUUUGCUUCAAGCAAUUUGCUAGCUAUUCAAGUUGGCAACUAGCUGGCAUCAUGUGGUGUUUCUUUUCCAUGUUAUUAAGACUUAUACAUAACUUAUUGUUUACAUGGUGGUCCAUUAUAACUAUUGUAAACUAAAUUUUUUCAACAAGGAGAUGUCCGCAUAUAACUCCUUCAUAAUUGUUAUUACAUGACUAUAUGUUGUGAAAUCAUUUGUCAUAUGUCUGAUUUUUUUUUUUCAUCACCCCCUUUAGAAAUGAGCUUCUAUUAACUCCUGGUCUUUCAAGUCAUUUUCUGUUCUGCCAAACUUGUGCCUUUUCAGACAGAUCACUAUCAGUGAGUAAACAAUUGUUCAAUUAAAGACUGGUAUUAUGUGCUCUAUAUUGGGAAUUUCAAAUGAAUAGUUCUGACAUAUUUUCUUCAGGAGAUUUUUCCGGAGCUUGAGUAAGCAAUUGUAUCUACUUAUUUUGUUAAAUCAGAUUUGUAGCACCCGAUAUGUUUAGGCAGUAGACUUAUUGGUCCAGAGAAGGAUUCCCAUGAUUCACCAAAAAAUUGUUGUACUAGGGAGUUUGCUUGUUCUGAUAGAAAUAGUAGUAAGGUGUGUAUUUGUACGUAUAACAUGUUUGGUUAGAGAGAGACUUGGAUAUUUCUCCAUCCAUAUUUUACUUGUUCUGAUGUAGACAUGCAAACAAGCCAAGAAAGAUCUCUAUGGAAUAAUGUUCCUGACAAGAGAUGGGGCUUUGUUCCUAUAUUACGAUUUUUGGGACCCUACAUUCUUUUAUCUAUAACAUUUAUGCUUUACGAGCUGCAUUUAUAAAUGGCUUAUAUCAGUGAUAUUAGCUAUGUGUGUGGACGGAUAUACAUACGUGUGAGAUAAUUUGGGGUUGAUAGGAAAUCAUUAUUUUGAUGUUUUGUUAAUUGAAGUUUGAUCUUAUGUUCUAACUGCAAACAUGCAGCUCUAUGGUGCAUUCUUUUAUCUAUAGCAUUUGUGAUUUGGAAAUCAUUAUUUAGAACCAUGGUUUCUUAGGUCUGAUUACUUUGUGCAACAUUACAGAUCAAUUCCUAAUAUUAUUCAAGCAAUCUUAAGUUCAGGACACCACUAUGCUUCCAUAUGCAAUCUAAUGACUUUUUUCUGGUGUAUAUGGAAGGUGGGAAGUGACAAACAUUUUGGAAGAAAAUAGGGACAUCCAACUCAGGUGCAUCAAGCUGCUCAACCUAUAAUGAAAGGGCUUCAGGUAGAGUCCAAAGUUACAGGUUUUAUCGGUCCACCAUUCUGACAGAUAAUCAGGUACUUGCAAGAGCUGCAGAUUCUGGCGAAUUUCAAACCCGGGACAUUGUGAAAUCCAUUCAUAGAUAGGAGAAUACUUCAAUGUUUCCAGGUCUCUUAUGUUAAAGAUAAUCACAUCAAAAGAGAUUUGAAUGGUGUUGCUCAUAACUGUGCAAAGGACUCACUGAAAAAGCUUUGUAUUAGCUACCACAUACUGUAUUAGCUCAUAUGGUACUAUACUGUAUUAGCUCAUCUCAUAGGAGUAUCCAAUGUCCAGUGUUGCUCGCUUUGAGCAACUUUGUAAUCUAUGGAUUUCGUAUCCUUGAUGUAA